rnacentral:lncRNA from 1 species
UUGGUGAUGCUCUCAAAAAAAGCUAAUUGGUCCCUGAACCGGUUUUAUAAACAAUUUACAACUACCAUUCUAAUGGAG